AAAGGAGGGGCGCGCGAGACUAAGGAUGAGCGCCUAGGCGAUGGUUGGCUCGCUGCACUCCACUGCAACCGGGGACUGUGGUGAUGGAGUCACCGGGCGGCUGGGCGGCUGGGCGGCUGCACCUCCCAGCCCGGGGACCCCGCGCCCGGCUCCACGAGCUGACAGCGCCCUCUGGCGGACGUGCGCGCGCCCAGCCGAGUUACUCCCGCGGCGCCCCCUGCCUCCUUUUCCAUCGCCUCCUGCGGGCCCUGGCUGGGAAAGCUGGGAGCGUUCGGAUUACCUAACCAGCUUGGGGGUAAAUCAAGAACCGACCACAUGGCAAGGGACCAUUGGCUUUAUCCAUAUGCCCGUGAACAGGGACAAAUGCAGUCAGGAGCACUUGCCAUUAUGGAAAAAAUAUGCUGUCUUAAAAACAAUGUUUUAAACAACCAGGCUUCUCAAAGUGAGGAAUUCUGUUUCUGUGACUGCAUUAACCAAGAGGCCAUCCAUUUACCAGUUAAAUCCACUCUGGUUGAGGAAAAACAGAGACGGAGUCCAGGUUUUGAGGAAACUAGAACUCGAAGGUAAAGGAAUGUUAAGGGCCUUCAGGUGGACCACAGGGACCCACCCUACCUUUUUCUUGAUUCAAGUCUGCAGGUCAGUUCCUGGGGCUGAGGUGAAAGUUGUGAGAAAUGGCCAAGGAACCCCAUUGGAGAAGCCACCCCCAGAAUGGAAAUAAGAAAGGACAAGUGGAAUUCCUCCAUCCCACCAGGUGUCACGGAAGCAGAUCCCUCCAGCUUAGGCCCCCACAUGUGUGCUGAAGCCAUGACACACACCUACUUCUCAUGGACUCUGCUGCUGGUCACGCCCUGGCUCCCCUCCUUCAGCCUCUCCAUCUCUGUCAUUCGUUCCCAUCAAAUGCCAAGACAGUAAUGCAGAAGUUGUCCUGAUGCCAUUGUCAGAGCUACAAGGACUUAUGUUGUGAAGAGACCCAGGUGCAGGUGGAGACCAAGAUAGAGUGAUGAAGCAGGAGAAAAAGAGUGAUGUGCUGAGCGUCACUGCUAAAGAAGGAAGAUUCUCUUCCAGCCCAUCUGUUCCUGCCCAUUAAAAUGCCAAGUUGCCCUCCUCUUUAAUGCACGUUGUGACAUGGUGGGAGACACUGCCUGUU